rnacentral:rRNA from 1 species
AUGCAAGUCGAGCGGAGUUUACUCGCUGUGAAGUCUUCGGAUGGAACUUGAGUAAACUUAGCGGCGGACGGGUGAGUAACACGUGAGCAACCUACCUUGAAGAGUGGGAUAACAGUUCGAAACGGCUGCUAAUACCGCAUGAAGUGUCGAUAUGGCAUCAUAAUGACACCAAAGAUUUAUCGCUCUGAGAUGGGCUCGCGCCUGAUUAGCUAGUUGGUGAGGUAAUGGCUCACCAAGGCGAUGAUCAGUAGCCGGACUGAGAGGUUGAUCGGCCACAUUGGAACUGAGACACGGUCCAGACUCCUACGGGAGGCAGCAGUGGGGAAUAUUGCACAAUGGAGGAAACUCUGAUGCAGCAACGCCGCGUGAGUGAUGAAGGUCUUCGGAUUGUAAAGCUCUGUCUUCUGGGACGAUAAUGACGGUACCAGAGGAGGAAGCCACGGCUAACUACGUGCCAGCAGCCGCAGUAA